AUGAUUUUCGUUCAUUAUAAUGCAUGUACCAUACCCAACACGAGUCAUUGUCUUGUUCAAACUGGCAACAAGACCCACUGGUGGUGUUCAAGUUCAACACUUCAACUGUUCGAUCGGAUUGCGUCUGGCAGCAAGAGACGCUGCUCUACCUGCGCUCACACAUUUGAUGCCGCGGGCACUCGACGCUGGUCCAGUCGUGUUGGAUCCACCUGCCCGCGCGGCACUGACUCGAAGAAGACCGCCGCGGCUGUGGCGAUGGGAGCAGGCGUGGAGGCUAUGGAUGCUCCCAGAAGCUUGUUCCGCACCCCAACCAAAUCAAAAGAAAAAUCUUGUUAG
rnacentral:rRNA from 1 species